rnacentral:rRNA from 1 species
AUACUACGGUAGGAAGAUUUUUAUGACUGAGUGGCGGACGGGUGAGUAACGCGUGGGUAACCUGCCUCAUACAGGGGGAUAACAGUUAGAAAUGGCUGCUAAUACCGCAUAAGCGCACAGUACUGCAUGGUACAGUGUGAAAAACUCUGGUGGUAUGAGAUGGACCCGCGUCUGAUUAGCUAGUUGGUGAGGUAAGGGCUCACCAAGGCAACGAUCAGUAGCCGACCUGAGAGGGUGAACGGCCACAUUGGGACUGAGACACGGCCCAAACUCCUACGGGAGGCAGCAGUGGGGAAUAUUGCACAAUGGGGGGAACCCUGAUGCAGCGACGCCGCGUGAAGGAAGAAGUAUUUCGGUAUGUAAACUUCUAUCAGCAGGGAAGAAAAUGACGGUACCUGACUAAGAAGCCCCGGCUAACUACGUGCCAGCAGCCGCGGUAAUACGUAGGGGGCAAGCGUUAUCCGGAUUUACUGGGUGUAAAGGGAGCGUAGGCGGCAGUGCAAGUCAGAAGUGAAAGCCCAAGGCUCAACCAUGGGACUGCUUUUGAAACUGUACAGCUAGAUUGCAGGAGAGGUAAGUGGAAUUCCUAGUGUAGCGGUGAAAUGCGUAGAUAUUAGGAGGAACACCAGUGGCGAAGGCGGCUUACUGGACUGUAAAUGACGCUGAGGCUCGAAAGCGUGGGGAGCAAACAGGAUUAGAUACCCUGGUAGUCCACGCUGUAAACGAUGAAUACUAGGUGUCAGGGAGCAAAGCUCUUUGGUGCCGCAGCAAACGCAAUAAGUAUUCCACCUGGGGAGUACGUUCGCAAGAAUGAAACUCAAAGG